GACGAACGCUGGCGGCGUGCUUAACACAUGCAAGUCGAACGGAAAGGCCCUGCUUUUGUGGGGUGCUCGAGUGGCGAACGGGUGAGUAACACGUGAGUAACCUGCCCUUGACUUUGGGAUAACUUCAGGAAACUGGGGCUAAUACCGGAUAGGAGCUCCUGCUGCAUGGUGGGGGUUGGAAAGUUUCGGCGGUUGGGGAUGGACUCGCGGCUUAUCAGCUUGUUGGUGGGGUAGUGGCUUACCAAGGCUUUGACGGGUAGCCGGCCUGAGAGGGUGACCGGCCACAUUGGGACUGAGAUACGGCCCAGACUCCUACGGGAGGCAGCAGUGGGGAAUAUUGCACAAUGGGCGGAAGCCUGAUGCAGCAACGCCGCGUGCGGGAUGACGGCCGUCGGGUUGGAAACCGCUUUCGCCUGUGACGAAGCGUGAGUGACGGUAGUGGGUAAAGAAGCACCGGCUAACUACGUG
rnacentral:rRNA from 1 species